rnacentral:rRNA from 1 species
GGCCUUGACAUCCACGGAAUUUGGCAGAGAUGCCUUAGUGCCUUCGGGAACCGUGAGACAGGUGCUGCAUGGCUGUCGUCAGCUCGUGUUGUGAAAUGUUGGGUUAAGUCCCGNAACGAGCGCAACCCUUAUCCUUUGUUGCCAGCGAUUCGGUCGGGAACUCAAAGGAGACUGCCGGUGAUAAACCGGAGGAAGGUGGGGAUGACGUCAAGUCAUCAUGGCCCUUACGGCCAGGGCUACACACGUGCUACAAUGGCGCAUACAAAGAGAAGCGACCUCGCGAGAGCAAGCGGACCUCAUAAAGUGCGUCGUAGUCCGGAUUGGAGUCUGCAACUCGACUCCAUGAAGUCGGAAUCGCUAGUAAUCGUAGAUCAGAAUGCUACGGUGAAUACGUUCCCGGGCCUUGUACACACCGCCCGUCACACCAUGGGAGUGGGUUGCAAAAGAAGUAGGUAGCUUAACCUUCGGGAGGGCGCUUACCACUUUGUGAUUCAUGACUGGGGUGAAGUCGUAACAAGGUAGGCGUACUACA